AUUGAACGCUGGCGGCAGGCCUAACACAUGCAAGUCGAGCGAGCGGCGGACGGGUGAGUAAUGUAUGGGGAACUGCCUGAUAGAGGGGGAUAACUACUGGAAACGGUAGCUAAUACCGCAUACCAUCGGAUGUACCCAGAUGGGAUUAGCUAGUAGGUGGGGUAAUGGCUCACCUAGGCGACGAUCCCUAGCUGGUCUGAGAGGAUGACCAGCCACAGUGGGACUGAGAGACGGCCCAGACGCCUACGGGAGGCAGCAGUGGGGAAUAUUGAACAAUGGGCGCAAGCCUGAUGCAGCCAUGCCGCGUGUAUGAAGAAGGCCCUCGGGUUGUAAAGUACUUUCAGUCGGGAGGCGUUACCGGCAGAAGAAGCACCGGCUAACUCCGUGCCAGCAGCCGCGGUAAUUC
rnacentral:rRNA from 1 species